rnacentral:misc_RNA from 1 species
AGCAGCCGCGGUAAUUCCAGCUCCAAUAGCGUAUAUUAAAGUUGUUGCAGUUAAAAAGCUCGUAGUUGAAUUUCGGGAUCAGUACGCCGGUCGUGCCUUCGGUAUGCACUGGUGUCACUGGUUUCUCCCUUCUGAAGAACCAUCAUGCCAUUCAGUUGGUGUGGCGGGGAAUCAGGACUGUUACUUUGAAAAAAUUAGAGUGUUUAAAGCAGGCUCGCGCUUGAAUACAUUAGCAUGGAAUAAUGAAAUAGGACGUUUGACCCUAUUUUGUUGGUUUCUAGGAUCGACGUAAUGAUUAAUAGGGAUAGUUGGGGGCAUUAGUAUUCAAUUGUCAGAGGUGAAAUUCUUGGAUUUAUUGAAGACUAACUACUGCGAAAGCAUUUGCCAAGGAUGUUUUCAUUAAUCAAGAACGAAAGUUAGGGGAUCGAAGACGAUCAGAUACCGUCGUAGUCUUAACCAUAAACUAUGCCGACUAGGGAUCGGAUGAUGUUAAUUUUUUUAAUGACUCAUUCGGCGCCUU